rnacentral:rRNA from 1 species
UUUAUGGAGAGUUUGAUCCUGGCUCAGGAUGAACGCUGGCGGCGUGCCUAAUACAUGCAAGUCGAGCGAACUGACGAGGAGCUUGCUCCUUUGACGUUAGCGGCGAACGGGUGAGUAACACGUGGGUAACCUACCUAUAAGACUGGAAUAACUCCGGGAAACCGGGGCUAAUGCCGGAUAACAUGUUGAACCGCAUGGUUCAACAGUGAAAGACGGUCUUGCUGUCACUUAUAGAUGGACCCGCGCCGUAUUAGCUAGUUGGUAAGGUAACGGCUUACCAAGGCGACGAUACGUAGCCGACCUGAGAGGGUGAUCGGCCACACUGGAACUGAGACACGGUCCAGACUCCUACGGGAGGCAGCAGUAGGGAAUCUUCCGCAAUGGGCGAAAGCCUGACGGAGCAACGCCGCGUGAGUGAUGAAGGUCUUCGGAUCGUAAAGCUCUGUUGUUAGGGAAGAACAUAUGUGUAAGUAACUGUGCACAUCUUGACGGUACCUAACCAGAAAGCCACGGCUAACUACGUGCCA